AUUGAACGCUGGCGGCAGGCUUAACACAUGCAAGUCGAGCGGAGAUGAGGUGCUUGCACCUUAUCUUAGCGGCGGACGGGUGAGUAAUGCUUAGGAAUCUGCCUAUUAGUGGGGGACAACAUUCCGAAAGGAAUGCUAAUACCGCAUACGCCCUACGGGGGAAAGCAGGGGAUCUUCGGACCUUGCACUAAUAGAUGAGCCUAAGUCGGAUUAGCUAGUUGGUGGGGCAAAGGCCUACCAAGGCGACGAUCUGUAGCGGGUCUGAGAGGAUGAUCCGCCACACUGGGACCGAGACACGGCCCAGACUCCUACGGGAGGCAGCAGUGGGGAAUAUUGGACAAUGGGCGGAAGCCUGAUCCAGCCAUGCCGCGUGUGUGAAGAAGGCCUUUUGGUUGUAAAGCACUUUAAGCGAGGAGGAGGCUACCUGGAUUAAUACUCUAGGAUAGUGGACGUUACUCGCAGAAUAAGCACCGGCUAACUCUGUGCCAGCAGCCGCGGUAACAC
rnacentral:rRNA from 1 species